rnacentral:rRNA from 1 species
GAUGAACGCUGGCGGCGUGCCUAAUACAUGCAAGUCGAGCGAAUGGAUUAAGAGCUUGCUCUUAUGAAGUUAGCGGCGGACGGGUGAGUAACACGUGGGUAACCUGCCCAUAAGACUGGGAUAACUCCGGGAAACCGGGGCUAAUACCGGAUAACAUUUUGAACCGCAUGGUUCGAAAUUGAAAGGCGGCUUCGGCUGUCACUUAUGGAUGGACCCGCGUCGCAUUAGCUAGUUGGUGAGGUAACGGCUCACCAAGGCAACGAUGCAUAGCCGACCUGAGAGGGUGAUCGGCCACACUGAGACUGAGACACGGCCCAAACUCCUACGGGGGGCAGCAGUAGGGAAUCUUCCGCAAUGGACGAAAGUCUGACGGAGCAACGCCGCGUGAGUGAUGAAGGCUUUCGGGUCGUAAAACUCUGUUGUUAGGGAAGAACAAGUGCUAGUUGAAUAAGCUGGCACCUUGACGGUACCUAACCAGAAAGCCACGGCUAACUACGUGCCAGCAGCCGCCGUAA